ACCAUUAAUGGAGAAGGUCCUGAUAAUCAUCUUCUAUGCUUGAAAGAAUUUUCUCACAACAAAAGACAGUAUGAUCCAGCACUAUUUAGAGAUAAAUCGUAUCAAGAAUAUCUAAACUUUUGUCUGCAAAUAAAGCAGAUUAAUUCCAAAUAUAAUAUAAUCGUGGGAUAUGGACCUAUGACGAGGGACGGCUAUAGUUGCUGUUUUAAUCUUCAAGAACAUCAAAUAAUAUUCACUCUGACAUCAUUUAAUACAUUCGAAAAAACAGAUUUGCAAAGUUUUGCCCAACAUUUGACAUCAAGUUUGAUCGAAAUCGGCGAAUUUUGUCAAAAGAAUUUACGAAAACUCACAAUAAGCACCAAAGAGAAAUCAUUGCGUAAAUUAAAGCGAGAAUAAUUAUCUAAAUCGAGUCAUAAAGUUUAUUAGCUAUGAGAUGUUACCAUUGACACCAUGAUUAAAUUUCUUUAAUUGAAUAAAUUAAUUUCAAAAU